AGAGCGAACGCUGGCGGCAGGCUUAACACAUGCAAGUCGAGCGCCCCGCAAGGGGAGCGGCAGACGGGUGAGUAACGCGUGGGAACGUACCUUUUGGUUCGGAACAACACAGGGAAACUUGUGCUAAUACCGGAUAAGCCCUUACGGGGAAAGAUUUAUCGCCGAAAGAUCGGCCCGCGUCUGAUUAGCUAGUUGGUGAGGUAACGGCUCACCAAGGCGACGAUCAGUAGCUGGUCUGAGAGGAUGAUCAGCCACAUUGGGACUGAGACACGGCCCAAACUCCUACGGGAGGCAGCAGUGGGGAAUAUUGGACAAUGGGCGCAAGCCUGAUCCAGCCAUGCCGCGUGAGUGAUGACGGCCUUAGGGUUGUAAAGCUCUUUUACCUGGGAAGAUCAUGACGGUACCAGGAGAAUAAGCCCCGGCUAACUUCGUGCCAGCAGCCGC
rnacentral:rRNA from 1 species